GACGAACGCUGGCGGCGUGCCUAAUACAUGCCAGUUGAGCGAUGAAGGUUGGUGCUUGCACCAAUUUGAAGAGCAGCGAACGGGUGAGUAACGCGUGGGGAAUCUGCCUUUGAGCGGGGGACAACAUUUGGAAACGAAUGCUAAUACCGCAUAACAACUUUAAACGUAAGUUUUAAGUUUGAAAGAUGCAAUUGCAUCACUCAAAGAUGAUCCCGCGUUGUAUUAGCUAGUUGGUGAGGUAAAGGCUCACCAAGGCGAUGAUACAUAGCCGACCUGAGAGGGUGAUCGGCCACAUUGGGACUGAGACACGGCCCAAACUCCUACGGGAGGCAGCAGUAGGGAAUCUUCGGCAAUGGACGAAAGUCUGACCGAGCAACGCCGCGUGAGUGAAGAAGGUUUUCGGAUCGUAAAACUCUGUUGGUAGAGAAGAACGUUGGUGAGAGUGGAAAGCUCAUCAAGUGACGGUAACUACCCAGAAAGGGACGGCUAACUACGUG
rnacentral:rRNA from 1 species